CAGUUUGCCACCAGAGCUCGUCUGGAGCACAACUCGUUUCGGAAAAAUAAAAAUGUGAAAAAAACACAAAAUUCGUAGUAAAGCGACGGAAAUUUAUUGGCUAACUUUCCGAGUUAUUACAUCCAAAUAAACACGUACAGAUAAUGCAGCUUAAUCGAAUAAGGACAUAACACUGGAUACAUACACGAAAUUAGUGCAGUUGAUACACAAGAUAGCUGCUGUUACCGCAGAUAUAAUCACAUGUGCAAACACAUUUACUGGAUACUCAUCCCAUCCCAAAUUUAGCUGGCUGGCUAAUAUGCAAACUAUUCAAGAUCGUUCCGCCUACACUUG